rfam:Trichosporon asahii var. asahii CBS 8904 unplaced genomic scaffold scaffold00033, whole genome shotgun sequence.
GGCGUGAUGGCCGAGCGGUCUAAGGCGGCGUCUUUAGGUACGGAGUUAUCUACGGCGUUCUUCGGGCGUGGGUUCGAAUCCCACUCACGUCA